GGAGAGAUGACCGAGUGGCCGAAGGUGCACGACUGGAAAUCGUGUGUACGGAAACGUACCGUGGGUUCGAAUCCCACUCUCUCCGCCA
rnacentral:tRNA from 1 species